UAACGCGUGAGGAACCUGCCUUGAANAGGGGGACAACAGUUGGAAACGACUGCUAAUACCGCAUGACGCAUAGAGGUCGCAUGAUCUUUAUGCCAAAGAUUUAUCGCUUCAAGAUGGCCUCGCGUCUGAUUAGCUAGUUGGCGGGGUAACGGCCCACCAAGGCGACGAUCAGUAGCCGGACUGAGAGGUUGAGCGGCCACAUUGGGACUGAGAUACGGCCCAGACUCCUACGGGAGGCAGCAGUGGGGAAUAUUGGGCAAUGGGCGCAAGCCUGACCCAGCAACGCCGCGUGAAGGAAGAAGGCUUUCGGGUUGUAAACUUCUUUUAAGAGGGAAGAGCAGAAGACGGUACCUCUAGAAUAAGCCACGGCUAACUACGUGCCAGCAGCCGCGGUAAUACGUAGGUGGCAAGCGUUGUCCGGAUUUACUGGGUGUAAAGGGCGUGCAGCCGGGUCUGCAAGUCUGAUGUGAAAUCCAUGGGCUCAACCCAUGAACUGCAUUUGAAACUGUAGAUCUUGAGUGUCGGAGGGGCAAUCGGAAUUCCUAGUGUAGCGGUGAAAUGCGUAGAUAUUAGGAGGAACACCAGUGGCGAAGGCGGAUUGCUGGACGAUAACUGACGGUGAGGCGCGAAAGUGUGGGGAGCAAACAGGAUUAGAUACCCUGGUAGUCCACACUGUAAACGAUGAAUACUAGGUGU
rnacentral:rRNA from 1 species